GGAGCUUGCUCCACCGGAAAAAGAAGAGUGGCGAACGGGUGAGUAACACGUGGGUAACCUGCCCAUCAGAAGGGGAUAACACUUGGAAACAGGUGCUAAUACCGUAUAACAAUCGAAACCGCAUGGUUUUGAUUUGAAAGGCGCUUUCGGGUGUCGCUGAUGGAUGGACCCGCGGUGCAUUAGCUAGUUGGUGAGGUAACGGCUCACCAAGGCCACGAUGCAUAGCCGACCUGAGAGGGUGAUCGGCCACAUUGGGACUGAGACACGGCCCAAACUCCUACGGGAGGCAGCAGUAGGGAAUCUUCGGCAAUGGACGAAAGUCUGACCGAGCAACGCCGCGUGAGUGAAGAAGGUUUUCGGAUCGUAAAACUCUGUUGUUAGAGAAGAACAAGGAUGAGAGUAACUGUUCAUCCCUUGACGGUAUCUAACCAGAAAGCCACGGCUAACUACGUGCCAGCAGCCGCGGUAAUACGUAGGUGGCAAGCGUUGUCCGGAUUUAUUGGGCGUAAAGCGAGCGCAGGCGGUUUCUUAAGUCUGAUGUGAAAGCCCCCGGCUCAACCGGGGAGGGUCAUUGGAAACUGGGAGACUUGAGUGCAGAAGAGGAGAGUGGAAUUCCAUGUGUAGCGGUGAAAUGCGUAGAUAUAUGGAGGAACACCAGUGGCGAAGGCGGCUCUCUGGUCUGUAACUGACGCUGAGGCUCGAAAGCGUGGGGAGCAAACAGGAUUAGAUACCCUGGUAGUCCACGCCGUAAACGAUGAGUGCUAAGUGUUGGAGGGUUUCCGCCCUUCAGUGCUGCAGCUAACGCAUUAAGCACUCCGCCUGGGGAGUACGACCGCAAGGUUGAAACUCAAAGGAAUUGACGGGGGCCCGCACAAGCGGUGGAGCAUGUGGUUUAAUUGGAAGCAACGCGAAGACCCUUACCAGGUCUUGACAUCCUUUGACCACUCUAGAGAUAGAGCUUCCCCUUCGGGGGCAAAGUGACAGGUGGUGCAUGGUUGUCGUCAGCUCGUGUCGUGAGAUGUUGGGUUAAGUCCCGCAACGAGCGCAACCCUUAUUGUUAGUUGCCAUCAUUCAGUUGGCCACUCUAGCAAGACUGCCGGUGACAAACCGGAGGAAGGUGGGGAUGACGUCAAAUCAUCAUGCCCCUUAU
rnacentral:rRNA from 1 species